GACGAAGGAUGCAAGCGUUAUCCGGAUUCAUUGGGCGUAAAGCGCGUGUAGGCGGCUUUGCAAGUCGGGUGUGAAAGCCCUCAGCUCAACUGAGGAAGUGCGCCCGAAACUGCAGAGCUUGAGUGCCGGAGAGGGUGGCGGAAUUCCCCAAGUAGAGGUGAAAUUCGUAGAUAUGGGGAGGAACACCGGUGGCGAAGGCGGCCACCUGGACGGUUACUGACGCUGAGACGCGAAAGCGUGGGGAGCAAACAGG
rnacentral:rRNA from 1 species